GCACGAAUAGCGAAGUGGUCAAACGCGGUCGACUUAAGAUCGACUCUCGUAAGAGUUCAUGGGUUCGAGUCCCAUUUCGUGCA